AGCCUGCUUGGGUAUCAACCAAUCCUACUUCACUUACAGUCAAGGCAAAAUCCCCAAACAGAUUUUGAAGAAUUUGUUUCUGUGUACUUUGUCUCUACAGGAUGAUAUAGGACAAGCUUAGCUGCUGCAGUGAAGAGCAGAGACAGGACAGGAUAAAGUUUCAGGUUACAGUCUGAAUCACCUGACGCCAUGUGACAUCAGGUGCUUGCCAAGUGGGCAGCCCUGCCUGCCUGUCAAAGUUGCCUGAAAGGAGCCAGGUUAGUUUCCCAUCCCUGAUAUCAAGCAAGUUCAGCAAAUGGCUCUAGAAUUCUUUUCACUCAUGUACUAUUACAGAAAUGGAAUUGUUGAUUUGCUGCCUGAAGCACACAGUUCCACACCACCAGCUGGUUUUGCUGUAAACCUUAACUAAUUUCAUUAGACAUUAGCAUUAGAAGACUGAAAUCAUGAAAAAGCAAUGAAAUAGGUUCUCUGAAGGCUGGUGAGGAAAACAGAUCAAUUUCUGUCAGGUGAUUUCCUCCCCCCACUAGAUUUACGUGAAGUAUUUCAAAAUAAAGUUAUCAUGGCA